UACGAAGGGGGCUAGCGUUGCUCGGAAUCACUGGGCGUAAAGGGUGCGUAGGCGGGUCUUUAAGUCAGGGGUGAAAUCCUGGAGCUCAACUCCAGAACUGCCUUUGAUACUGAAGAUCUUGAGUUCGGGAGAGGUGAGUGGAACUGCGAGUGUAGAGGUGAAAUUCGUAGAUAUUCGCAAGAACACCAGUGGCGAAGGCGGCUCGCUGGCCCGAUACUGACGCUGAGGCACGAAAGCGUGGGGAGCAAACAGG
rnacentral:rRNA from 1 species